CGGAACUAACAGAUUUACUUCGGUAAUGACGUUAGGAAAGCGAGCGGCGGAUGGGUGAGUAACACGCGGGGAAUCUGCCCCAUAGUCUGGGAUACCACUUGGAAACAGGUGCUAAUACCGGAUAAGAAAGCAGAUCGCAUGAUCAGCUUUUAAAAGGCGGCGUAAGCUGUCGCUAUGGGAUGGCCCCGCGGUGCAUUAGCUAGUUGGUAAGGUAAAGGCUUACCAAGGCGAUGAUGCAUAGCCGAGUUGAGAGACUGAUCGGCCACAUUGGGACUGAGACACGGCCCAAACUCCUACGGGGGGCAGCAGUAGGGAAUCUUCCACAAUGGACGCAAGUCUGAUGGAGCAACGCCGCGUGAGUGAAGAAGGUUUUCGGAUCGUAAAGCUCUGUUGUUGGUGAAGAAGGAU
rnacentral:rRNA from 1 species